CUCACGCGGGCUGGCGGACCCUCGGUUUUACCCCGAUGGCCCGAUCCGGUGUCCACACCUGUGGACAGACGCCCGCGGCGGACCAACCGGAAAAAGGGAUUUUU
rnacentral:sRNA from 1 species